AUUGAACGCUGGCGGCAUGCUUUACACAUGCAAGUCGGACGGCAGCACAGAGAAGCUUGCUUCUUGGGUGGCGAGUGGUGAACGGGUGAGUAACAUAUCGGAACGUACCGAGCAGUGGGGGAUAACUAAUCGAAAGAUUAGCUAAUACCGCAUAUCUUCUGAGGAAGAAAGCAGGGGACCAUUUGGCCUUGCGCUGUUUGAGCGGCCGAUAUCUGAUUAGCUAGUUGGUGGGGUAAAGGCCUACCAAGGCGACGAUCAGUAGCGGGUCUGAGAGGAUGAUCCGCCACACUGGGACUGAGACACGGCCCAGACUCCUACGGGAGGCAGCAGUGGGGAAUUUUGGACAAAGGGCGCAAGCCUGAUCCAGCCAUGCCGCGUGUCUGAAGAAGGCCUUCGGGUUGUAAAGGACUUUUGUCAGGGAAGAAAAGGGCGGGGUUAAUACCCCUGUCUGAUGACGGUACCUGAAGAAUAAGCACCGGCUAACUACGUG
rnacentral:rRNA from 1 species